CAGACUGGGAAAGCCUGCAGCUGGGCGGGAUGAUUUUUGGAGGGCUCCUGUGCAUCGCUGGAAUCCUGAUAGCCCUGAGUGGAAAAUGCAAGUGCAAGUACAGUCAGAAGCACAGCCCCUUACCUGAGAAGGCCAUUCCACUCAUCACUCCAGGCUCUGCCAGUACCUGCUGAGCACAGGACCAGCUUCGUGGCACUCUUGGUACCAGCUCCCAUACUGUUUUCUCCCCACCUGGGGGCCUUACCCUUCAUGAUGGCCUUUUUCCCCCAGGGUGGGCCCUUAAGUUCCCUUCUGAUCAGGAGGCUGUCCAAAGCUUAUUUCUAAAUUAAACUGUCUCAUCCCUCCC